GCAUUUCCUUAACGGGGAAGGAUGAGAAGCUUCGAUUAAGGUUCGAUUCGAGCGUAGCGAGAAAGCGUUGCCGCAGGCAACGACCCGAAGGGCGAGGCGCAACGCGCCGAAUAAUCCUUCCCCAACAUAAA
rnacentral:sRNA from 1 species